GGCUGAAAUUAGCCUUCCAUGAAGCUGGAAUUGCUGUAAUGGCAGGUCAGCAUACUGCCGUGAAUACGUUCCCGGGCCCUUGUACACACCGCCCGUCACACCAUGAGAGUUGGGAAUACCCGAAGCCUGUGAGCUAACAUUUAUGAGGCAGCAGUCGAAGGUAGAAUCAAUGAUUGGGGUGAAGUCGUAACAAGGUAGC
rnacentral:rRNA from 1 species